CUGUCUAACUCACCUCUUGGCUUACUGCUCUCAAUCACUUCAAAAUCCAUCUGCUAUGGUGAAGUAAUUUUUCAAUUUCAUUCGCUUACAACAAUAGAUUUGUUGUUUGUUUUAUAUUUUUUCAGUAUUUAAAAAACAUACUGUUCUCACUUGCAACAAUAGAUGAUAAAAUCAGUCUCAUAAAUCGUCAAUCACUCAACCUCAAAAAUAUGUUUGAUUCAUGUCUCCGGUCAAGUAAGCACAGAUCCCGAUAAUUCUUUUUUUUUUUCUUUUCCAAUCUGAAUCGAUUUGUGUAAGAUACUCUUCUGGUGGGUUCUCUGGUUUUUAAUGUGUUUUUCUCACAAUUGGAUUCGUGACAGAUAAGAAAUCCAAUUGAACAAUGCGAGCAAACAUUUUUGCCAUGCAAGUUAAUCGAUUUUCUCAUUCCUAUUUUGAUUUGAGACUGCACUCUAAUACUCUGAAAUAGCAACAGCAUUUGGAUUUGAUGUGACAAGUUAUAAGGGAAAUAGAGAAGUUCAUAAUUCUCUCACAAGUCUUGGUGAUUUUUCAUUGGCCUUGAGUGGUUAAGACUAUCGGAUCCAUUGGAAAGUCAAAUACGGAGAGGCAAUGAAGAAGGAUGCCACAGCAGCUGGUGUCAAUGUCCGCUAUUUUGAAGAUGAGUCAACACCUACAAAACUUGCGGUGUCUGUGUUCUUGGUAGAGAAAGAUAUCCUUCUGUUGAGUUGUAUUUAGAUUACCAAUUGCUUAAAAGAAUUGGAGGAAAUGAAGCACAUGACCAAGCAAGAGUUCAUUGCCUCCUCAGAAUGAAGAGUUGCGGUAUCUCUAAAAGAGCUUCUGUAUAUAUCGAUGUGUGACAAGGCAUCAUCAACAAGAACCUUGGCAAGCAAGGAUUGGCCGUAUUGCCGAGAAUAAAGAUUUUUUUACCUUGAAAGUUGAAACCUUUGUAUCGAGAUCAGGAAAGCAUACUAGAUGUUUCAAAAGCGAAUCGAGGCUUCAGGUUCUAGACUUAUAAUCCUUUGGGUCAAAUUAUCACAAGGCGUACCAGCAUAUUGAAAAUUUGGCUGAACUUUCCAAUCUACACAAUAUUAGGAUGGUAGGGUGGAGUCUGAAGGAGAAGAGAAGGUUAGAUUGAAGUUCACAAAGAGGCCAAAGCUAAGAAACCUUAUAGGGAAAACGGUGACAUGUAACUGGAACUUGAUUAUGGUGUAAAUGAGUGUGAGAGGGAGGUAUUGUUGGGGUUGAUGUUGUUAAACACACACAAAAAAAAAUUUAAGCAAAAGAUAUUGAUAACAAGUACGACGAACAUGUGGGGAGAGUAGCCACAAACAAGUAUAGAGUGGAUAUGUGAGGAGAGUAGCCACAAACAGGUUACUAUUAUUUUUAGCAUUAGCAUUUAACAUCUGUAUUUACUAUUAUUUUUAUACAUGUAAUCAGGUUAGGUGGAUU